UUCUUUUAUAUGGUCCACCUGGGACAGGAAAGUCAUAUUUAGCCAAGGCCGUAGCGACCGAAGCUGAAUCAACCUUCUUUAGUAUAUCUUCAUCAGACCUGGUUUCAAAGUGGAUGGGUGAAAGUGAAAAGCUAGUUUCAAAUCUUUUUCAAAUGUCUCGUGAAAAUGCUCCUUCUAUCAUCUUCAUUGAUGAAAUUGAUUCACUGUGUGGACAGCGUGGAGAAGGAAGUGAAAGCGAGGCAUCUCGCAGGAUAAAAACAGAACUACUUGUGCAAAUGCAGGGCGUUGGUAACAAUGACCAGAAAGUUCUUGUACUUGCUGCUACGAACACACCAUAUGCUCUAGAUCAGGCCAUACGGCGCCGUUUUGAUAAGCGAAUCUACAUUCCUCUUCCGGAUCUGAAGGCCCGACAACAUAUGUUCAAGGUGCAUCUUGGGGAUACCCCUAACAAUUUGACAGAAAGUGAUUUUGAGAGCUUGGCUUGCCGGACGGAAGGUUUUUCCGGUUCAGAUAUUUCUGUUUGUGUAAAGGAUGUUCUCUUUGAGCCUGUUCGAAAAACCCAAGAUGCAAUGUUUUUUACAAAAUCUCCUAAUGGUAUGCUGUUGCCAUGUGGGCCAAAAACACCAGGAUCUAUACAAACCACAAUGCAGGAGCUUGCUGCAAAAGGCCUUGCUGCCAAGAUUCUUCCACCACCUAUUACAAGGACUGAUUUUGAUAAGGUGCUUGCGAGACAGCGACCAACAGUCAGCAAAGCGGAUCUCGAGGUUCAUGAGAGAUUCACAAAGGAAUUUGGAGAGGAAGGUUGAUAAGAAUUUCUUUGCUCCAUGGACCAAGGACGGAUUCCCUUCAUCAAACAACAAUGAUUCAAUGGUCAUCCCUUUAAGAUUUCAUUGUUUGAUUCUAAGCCACAUAUAAAAUGAACAUUCUGGUCUUGGAUUUGCAUAUUCGGGUGUUAUCCAAGGAGUAAGUCUGGUGCUAUAAAAGAUGCUAACAAUGCAAAAAUUCUGGAACUAGAUGAUGCUGCACAAGAUCAUAACAUUGCAGAAGAACAUAACAAUAUAGAGAAGAUCUGCUCCUUCUAUGAUACAGAAAUUCAGAAUUGUGCAGCUGCAGAAAUUCAAAUUUGUAAACUAUGUAAUCCUGUAACUGGAACUGGAACUCUAUAUUUUGUAAUCCUGUAACUGCAUAAAUUCGGUUUAUUUUAUAUAUUGAGUAUUUUGGGGAUCAUUGAGUGGUA